rnacentral:rRNA from 2 species
GGGCGGGUGCUAUAAUGCAGUCGAGCGGACAGAUGGGAGCUUGCUCCCUGAAGUCAGCGGCGGACGGGUGAGUAACACGUGGGCAACCUGCCUGUAAGACUGGGAUAACUCCGGGAAACCGGGGCUAAUACCGGAUAAUUCUUUGCCUCGCAUGAGGGAAAGAUGAAAGAUGGUUUCGGCUGUCACUUACAGAUGGGCCCGCGGCGCAUUAGCUAGUUGGUGAGGUAACGGCUCACCAAGGCAACGAUGCGUAGCCGACCUGAGAGGGUGAUCGGCCACACUGGGACUGAGACACGGCCCAGACUCCUACGGGAGGCAGCAGUAGGGAAUCUUCCGCAAUGGACGAAAGUCUGACGGAGCAACGCCGCGUGAGUGAUGAAGGUUUUCGGAUCGUAAAGCUCUGUUGUUAGGGAAGAACAAGUGCCGGAGUAACUGCCGGUACCUUGACGGUACCUAACCAGAAAGCCACGGCUAACUACGUGCCAGCAGCCGCGGUAAUACGUAGGUGGCAAGCGUUGUCCGGAAUUAUUGGGCGUAAAGGGCGCGCAGGCGGUUUCUUAAGUCUGAUGUGAAAGCCCCCGGCUCAACCGGGGAGGGUCAUUGGAAACUGGGGAACUUGAGUGCAGAAGAGGAGAGUGGAAUUCCACGUGUAGCGGUGAAAUGCGUAGAGAUGUGGAGGAACACCAGUGGCGAAGGCGACUCUUUGGUCUGUAACUGACGCUGAGGCGCGAAAGCGUGGGGAGCGAACAGGAUUAGAAACCCGGGGUGGUCCACGCCGGUAAACGAAUGAGUGCCCAAGUGUUAGAGGGGUUUCCGCCCCCUUAGUGGGUGCAGCAAAAUGCCUUUAUUUUUUCAAGGCUCGGGGUGGUAGGGUCGGGCGCGGGGGAUUUUUCCUAUGAGAUUUAAAGGAGGGCCCGCCGUAAAGCUAUUUGUGCCCCUCAUAUUUUAUUUUAAAACAGCCCAUCGUGCACCAAAACAUUAUUUCGGGGCGUGGGGUAUCGGCCCUCACUAGUACCACCCCGGAUUAGUAG